rnacentral:rRNA from 1 species
AGCGAACGCUGGCGGCGUGCUUAACACAUGCAAGUCGAACGGACCCGGGGGGCAACUCCCGGGUUAGUGGCGAACGGGUGAGUAACACGUGGGUAAUCUCCCCCCGAGUGAGGGAUAAGCUUGCGAAAGCGGGUCUAAUACCGCAUGAAACUCCGGGACCUCAGUCUUCGGAGUCAAAGCCGUAAGGCGCUUGGGGAUGAGCCUGCGUCCUAUUAGCUAGUUGGUAGGGUAAUGGCCUACCAAGGCGAUGAUGGGUAGCCGGCCUGAGAGGGUGAUCGGCCACACUGGAACUGAGACACGGUCCAGACUCCUACGGGAGGCAGCAGUGAGGAAUUUUGCGCAAUGGGCGAAAGCCUGACGCAGCGACGCCGCGUGGAGGAAGACGGCCUUCGGGUUGUAAACUCCUGUCAGAGGUGAAGAAUGCCCGCAAGGGCUUGACGGUAACCUCAGAGGAAGCCCCGGCUAACUACGUGCCAGCAGCCGCGGUAAAAC